CCAUUGCGUGCCGCUGCCUUCCUUGAUUUAUCAGGUUGGUUUGUGGCAGGCUACAGCGGGGCGGACGUAUAUCACAGCGCGUCCCGAGCCCGACCCCACAUGUUACUCCUGUGCCUACUCCUACUUUCAGUAGGGGUAGGCAUCUUCCUGCUUCCAGCCCGAUAGGCUGGAAGCUAAAC
rfam:Hepatitis C virus isolate NK46, complete genome